GACGAACGCUGGCGGCGUGCUUAACACAUGCAAGUCGAACGAUGAAGCCGGAGCUUGCUCCGGUGGAUAGUGGCGAACGGGUGAGUAACACGUGAGCAAUCUGCCCUUGACUCUGGGAUAACUGCGGGAAACUGUAGCUAAUACCGGAUACGACACCUUGGGGCAUCCCAGGGUGUGGAAAGAAUUUCGGUCAAGGAUGAGCUCGCGGCCUAUCAGCUAGUUGGUGAGGUAAUGGCUCACCAAGGCGACGACGGGUAGCCGGCCUGAGAGGGUGACCGGCCACACUGGAACUGAGACACGGUCCAGACUCCUACGGGAGGCAGCAGUGGGGAAUAUUGCACAAUGGGCGAAAGCCUGAUGCAGCAACGCCGCGUGAGGGAUGAAGGCCUUCGGGUUGUAAACCUCUUUUAGCAGGGAAGAAGCGAAAGUGACGGUACCUGCAGAAAAAGCACCGGCUAACUACGAGCCAGCAGCCGCAGUAA
rnacentral:rRNA from 1 species